rfam:Oryza glaberrima chromosome 3 Oglab03_0093_11, whole genome shotgun sequence.
CCAAAAAGAAUACAAUUUUCAUGUUUAACGUUUAUUUGAUUGUUCAUUUUAUUUCAAUUUUUUGUAUGAUUAGUAUUUUUAUUAUUAUUAGAUGAUAAAAUAUAAAUAGUAUUUUAUGUGUGACUAAUUUUCUUAUUUUCUUUUUAUAAAUUUUUAAAUAAAACGGACGGUUAAAAGUUGAACACGGUACGACGGAGGUAGUAAUU